rnacentral:rRNA from 1 species
AGAAUCAACGCUGGCGGCGUGCCUAACACAUGCAAGUCGAACGAGAAAGUGGAGCAAUCCAUGAGUAAAGUGGCGCACGGGUGAGUAACACGUGACUAACCUACCCUUGAGUGGGGGGAUAACCUAGAGAAAUCUGGGCUAAUACCGCAUAAUACCUUCGGGUCAAAGGAGCAAUUCGCUUAAGGAGGGGGUCGCGGCCGAUUAGUUAGUUGGCGGGGUAAUGGCCCACCAAGACUAUGAUCGGUA